rnacentral:ncRNA from 1 species
ACAGUACAAACUGAACAGGCCGGAGCGACGCGCUCGGAGCCGGGUCACACAUGUGACAGUGGAAGGAUCACCCACGGGACAGU